ACGUAGGGGGCAAGCGUUGUCCGGAAUGAUUGGGCGUAAAGGGCGCGUAGGCGGCCUUGUAAGUCCGAUGUGAAAUUCCUGCUUUUAAGGUAGGAAUUGCAUUGGAAACUGUAGGGCUUGAGUGCAGGAGAGGUAAGCGGAAUUCCCGGUGUAGCGGUGAAAUGCGUAGAGAUCGGGAGGAACACCAGUGGCGAAGGCAGCUUACUGGACUGUAUCUGACGCUGAGGCGCGAAAGUGUGGUGAGCAAACAG
rnacentral:rRNA from 1 species